GGGGUUUGGUAGACACUUUUAUCAAAGUAAGAAGUUCUCUUCUUUUUUUACUUAUGGAUGGAUAUUGACUUUUGUCAAAUGCUCUUCCUACGUUUAAAAAAUAUUCUUACAGAUGCCUUCUCCUUCAGUGGGUUAAUGGAGUGAAUUGGAUUGCUUUUCUUGUAUCAAACAAUCUUGCCUUCUUUGGGGACACUCAGCUUGGUCAGGAUAAGUUUGAUCUCUUUUUGCUUUGUGUUUGGGAUCUUGGGGAGAUGGAGAUCGUGAGUGCAAGCAUCAUAAUGUUCCUGUCUUACGCACUCUGUGUCUGAUUAUGGCACUACGUCCGUUGUCCAUGUAACUUACAACAAUUAAUACAAUACACAUAGAUUGUCUCAGUUUCUCUGGGGGCUUCCAGCCCAGAAUCUCUCAUCAGGCUGCAGGUGCUGCAAGGCUGUCCUGGGGAAGCCUCGGCUCCCCUGGGCCCGUGGAUGAGGGUGCCCUCCGUCCUCCACCAUCUCAUGUGGCAACUGGCCCCGUGAGAGGAAGCACGGGGAGGGCGAGGGAGGGUGCGAGCAGGACACAGGUCACAGUCUUGUGCGACCUAAUCUAGAAGUGGCACCCAUCCCUCUUGCUGUGUUCUGUCUCUUAGAGUCACUAGGUUGGCCCACAUGUGAGGAGAAGGGGUUAUGUCGGGGCAGGAACCCCUGGCUGCAGGGACCCCGGGAACACCUGGGAACAGCGUCGGAGGCUGCCCGCCAGAAGCAUCAGGGUCGUGCUAACCUCAGAACAAGGGUUGGAGUGGAGCCCUCUUUUUCUGUUUUCGGGAGAAUUCUGUCUUUUACUUGUCUCCUGGCUACUUUAACAUGUGUAUUAAAAAUCGAAAGUGAAUUAGUAUUUCUGUCAUCCUCCCGAGUAAAGGCUGAUCCUCUGUCGCCCUGCCCCCAAAGACAGGCAGGGUUAUUAUUGUUGCUUUAUGUAGACCGUGUAUUUUCUGGGUUUACGCAAAUGUCACACAUGCCUUUGCUCACCUUUAUUUCUCAGGUCUCAGACCUUAUAUCUGCAGUCAUUUUUCUUCUACUUUAAGCAUGUAUUUUCAGUUUCCUUGAGUAAGGAUCUCUUUCGGUUAAUUUUCUGACUCUUUUCUUUUCUUUUCUUUUUUGAAAAAUAUCUUUAUUUUGUCCUUUUCCUAGGCAAGGGUUGCAAACAUUUUCCAUAAAGGGCAGAUACUGUUUUGGGCUGUGGGUGUCCAGUAAUCUGGUCUCUGUUGCAGCCAUGAAGGCAGCCUGUGGGGAAAUUGUAAAGGACUGGGUGUGGCUGUGCGCUAAUAAAACUAUUUACAAAGACAGGUGGUGGCCUCCAGGCUGUCUGACAACCCCUGUGCUAGGGAAUACAAUUUUCAGUUCACCGUUACUUUCAGUCAGCCCGUUAAAAGUUUUAUUAUUCUGGUUUUUGGCCUUCACUGUUGCUAAUGGGAUGUCAGCAGUCAGAUUCAUUUUCACCCAAAUGAAGGUAAUAAAAUCUUUCCUUUGUAGCUGCUUUCAAGAUCUUUCUUUAGUGUUCCUCAGUUUCACUCUGCCGUAUUAAAUAUCUGGGUUUAUUUUUAUUUUUCCUACCCUUUUUGUACUGCUUUGUUUUUGCCAGGUGGUGAGGGUUAAGGGGUGGGCUUCCUGGCUGAGAAGUGUUCUUUCAACAACUCUGGUAAAUUCUCGGACAUGAUUUUUUUCAAAUAUUGCCUCGCCCGUAUUCUCCAUGUGCUCUCUACCUACAGCUGGGUUCUGAGUGGUGUUAGGUGAGAAGGUCUACCCCAAAUUACCUCUAACCCUUCCUUCCUGUUUCUUCUUCCCUUUGAGCUUCUGGGCCGUGUGUUGGGUAAUUCCUUCAGGUCCAUCUUCUUAGUGGUCUAGUCUGUCUUCAUCUGUGUUUAAUCUGCUAUUUGCUACAUCUGAGUUUUUCAUUUCUACUAUUUUUUUAGUUAAUUUCUGGAAGUUCUGCUUUGGGUUUUCUUAUAGUCUCUUAUUCCUCGGGGAUACUUUUAAGCUUUCAUUUCUUUAAACAUAAUAUUGGGCUUUUUUCCUUCCUGAUUCUCUCUCAUGGUGCCUUCUUUCCUUUUAGAUAAUGUGAAUUUUUAAAACUACAAGCCGACCAUUUUCCUUGGAAAACUUUGUGUAGAAAUUCUUUGAGGCCAAGCUCGACGUCACUCAUCAAAAGAGGAUUUAGAACUCUGGGGUACCACCAACCUGAGCCACCGUAUUCGCAGAGGGACGUCUUCAUCCUGUGCAUGUGGAAAGUAACCUGAGAAGUCUAAGCUUCCUGCUCAACGACCCCCCAGAGCACCAGCCACUUGGCCUUCUGAAGAACUGUUUUAUCGCUAAUCAAAGAAGUGAGGGCUAAAAAUAUUUUCUAACAAUAUAUACAUGUGCGUGCCUUCUCUGAAAAGCAGCAGCUGUCAACAUCAUUUAACAACUGCCUAAUGGUUCGCCAGCUCAGCUUUCCUCAGACUGUCCCACAACACUGAUGACCAGUAACAGGAGAAUGGGCGGCACCCCUCACAGGAGCGCUGGGAGGGCUGCCGUGAUGUGUGUUCGGUGACUACCAGCCCUCAUGUGCGGACUCAGGAUGCAGAUGCUGGGAAGCAGCCACGUGUGGAUCCGGAAGGUCUGCUCAGUUAAUGAUCUCAAACCGCAUAAUUAUUGAACUGAAACCCACAGCCUUCAUGCUAACAGGGAUCCAUGCCUUUGUUUUUCUCACCUUUUUAAAAAUUGUAGUGCUUUCCCUGCAUGCAAAUGAGAUUCUUAAGGAAAACUUCACGUGAUUUUCUUGAGGAGAAAAGCCUUGAGCUGUCACGCUGUAAAAGUGCAGUGCAAGAGCGGUAAGACUAUAAAUGUUCAGGGUUGAAAAAAAGGAGAGGCUUGGUUUCUGGCUUUAACAGAAACUAAAUGAGAUCAGGCAAAUUGCUAAGCCACUCGGAAUAUUCUCAGUUAAAAUGAUAACUGUCACACACAAGAGUAUGGCAUAGGUGCCAUCUGCAGUGCAGGUCGGAGGAGCUCUGUAAAGCACUCACGGCGAGUUCUCUGGGAGCCCCUUGUCACCCCCAUGUCACAGAUGGGGAGAUCCCCCAGUGUCCCACAGCACGUCCCAUCCAAGUUAGAAGAACAACACAACCCCAAGAGGGUUAUGAAUUCUAGUGUCCAACAUGCUCAAAUAAAGAAAAUAUGUUUUAUAUGGUUUUGAAGCAAAUUUCCUGCUGAAAAUUAGCUGAGUAUUGGAAUCAUCCUUUACAUGUCAUUUCUCUUUACAUCUUCACAGAUGAGAUUCCGUUAGGAUGGAACCGAGGGCAGAGAAAUGUUAAAGACUCAACAUAAUCACACACCAAGUUGUAGGCAGGCCUUUUAAAAAUCACAUGUAAGGAGUUAUUAAGCAAAUAAAGACGUAUAUCCUGGA